CAAAAAGUGACGGUUCAUGGAACCUGGGGAGAGGCAAAUCAGUCCCAACCAAGGGGAACAAGGAAAGGAGGAGACAGGCUGUAUUUACUGAAAGCCGCAGAGGAUGCUUGGUGUGGACAGCUCCAAUGGAAGCUCUCAUCACCUCUUACCUGAAUUAUUGCAACUGCUUCCUCACUGUUCUGUUUGUU